rnacentral:rRNA from 1 species
GACGAACGCUGGCGGCGUGCCUAAUACAUGCAAGUCGAGCGAAGCGGCGGAUGGGUGAGUAACGCGUGGGUAACCCGUCCUUAAGUCUUGGAUACCAUAUGGAAAUACUUGCUCAUACCGGAUAUUAAAGGACGGCCCUUGGAUGCAUUAGUUAGUUGGUAAGGUAACGGCUUACCAAGGCGAUGAUGCAUAGCCGAGUUGAGAGGGUGAUGGGCCACAUUGGGACGGAGACACGGCCCAGACUCCUACGGGAGGCAGCAGUAGGGAAUCUUCCACAAUGGACGAAAGUCUGAUGGAGCAACGCCGCGUGAGUGAAGAAGGUUUUCGGAUCGUAAAGCUCUGUUGUUAGUGAAGCGGUAAUCAACCAGAAAGUCACGGCUAACUACGUGCCAGCAGCCGCGGUAAUUC